GAUUAAGUUAUUAAGGGCGCACGGUGGAUGCCUUGGCACUAGAAGCCGAUGAAGGACGUUACUAACGACGAUAUGCUUUGGGGAGCUGUAAGUAAGCUUUGAUCCAGAGAUUUCCGAAUGGGGAAACCCAGCAUGAGUUAUGUCAUGUUAUCGAUAUGUGAAUACAUAGCAUAUCAGAAGGCACACCCGGAGAACUGAAACAUCUUAGUACCCGGAGGAAGAGAAAGAAAAUUCGAUUCCCUUAGUAGCGGCGAGCGAAACGGGAAGAGCCCAAACCAACAAGCUUGCUUGUUGGGGUUGUAGGACACUCUAUACGGAGUUACAAAGGACGACAUUAGACGAAUCAUCUGGAAAGAUGAAUCAAAGAAGGUAAUAAUCCUGUAGUCGAAAAUGUUGUCUCUCUUGAGUGGAUCCUGAGUACGACGGAGCACGUGAAAUUCCGUCGGAAUCUGGGAGGACCAUCUCCUAAGGCUAAAUACUCUCUAGUGACCGAUAGUGAACCAGUACCGUGAGGGAAAGGUGAAAAGCACCCCGGAAGGGGAGUGAAAUAGAACCUGAAACCGUGUGCUUACAAGUAGUCAGAGCCCGUUAAUGGGUGAUGGCGUGCCUUUUGUAGAAUGAACCGGCGAGUUACGAUUUGAUGCAAGGUUAAGCAGUAAAUGUGGAGCCGUAGCGAAAGCGAGUCUGAAUAGGGCGUUUAGUAUUUGGUCGUAGACCCGAAACCAGGUGAUCUACCCUUGGUCAGGUUGAAGUUCAGGUAACACUGAAUGGAGGACCGAACCGACUUACGUUGAAAAGUGAGCGGAUGAACUGAGGGUAGCGGAGAAAUUCCAAUCGAACCUGGAGAUAGCUGGUUCUCUCCGAAAUAGCUUUAGGGCUAGCCUCAAGUGAUGAUUAUUGGAGGUAGAGCACUGUUUGGACGAGGGGCCCCUCUCGGGUUACCGAAUUCAGACAAACUCCGAAUGCCAAUUAAUUUAACUUGGGAGUCAGAACAUGGGUGAUAAGGUCCAUGUUCGAAAGGGAAACAGCCCAGACCACCAGCUAAGGUCCCAAAAUAUAUGUUAAGUGGAAAAGGAUGUGGCGUUGCCCAGACAACUAGGAUGUUGGCUUAGAAGCAGCCAUCAUUUAAAGAGUGCGUAAUAGCUCACUAGUCGAGUGACACUGCGCCGAAAAUGUACCGGGGCUAAACAUAUUACCGAAGCUGUGGAUUGUCCUUUGGACAAUGGUAGGAGAGCGUUCUAAGGGCGUUGAAGCAUGAUCGUAAGGACAUGUGGAGCGCUUAGAAGUGAGAAUGCCGGUGUGAGUAGCGAAAGACGGGUGAGAAUCCCGUCCACCGAUUGACUAAGGUUUCCAGAGGAAGGCUCGUCCGCUCUGGGUUAGUCGGGUCCUAAGCUGAGGCCGACAGGCGUAGGCGAUGGAUAACAGGUUGAUAUUCCUGUACCACCUAUAAUCGUUUUAAUCGAUGGGGGGACGCAGUAGGAUAGGCGAAGCGUGCGAUUGGAUUGCACGUCUAAGCAGUAAGGCUGAGUAUUAGGCAAAUCCGGUACUCGUUAAGGCUGAGCUGUGAUGGGGAGAAGACAUUGAGUCUUCGAGUCGUUGAUUUCACACUGCCGAGAAAAGCCUCUAGAUAGAAAAUAGGUGCCCGUACCGCAAACCGACACAGGUAGUCAAGAUGAGAAUUCUAAGGUGAGCGAGCGAACUCUCGUUAAGGAACUCGGCAAAAUGACCCCGUAACUUCGGGAGAAGGGGUGCUCUUUAGGGUUAACGCCCAGAAGAGCCGCAGUGAAUAGGCCCAAGCGACUGUUUAUCAAAAACACAGGUCUCUGCUAAACCGUAAGGUGAUGUAUAGGGGCUGACGCCUGCCCGGUGCUGGAAGGUUAAGAGGAGUGGUUAGCUUCUGCGAAGCUACGAAUCGAAGCCCCAGUAAACGGCGGCCGUAACUAUAACGGUCCUAAGGUAGCGAAAUUCCUUGUCGGGUAAGUUCCGACCCGCACGAAAGGCGUAACGAUUUGGGCACUGUCUCAACGAGAGACUCGGUGAAAUCAUAGUACCUGUGAAGAUGCAGGUUACCCGCGACAGGACGGAAAGACCCCGUGGAGCUUUACUGUAGCCUGAUAUUGAAAUUCGGCACAGCUUGUACAGGAUAGGUAGGAGCCUUUGAAACGUGAGCGCUAGCUUACGUGGAGGCGCUGGUGGGAUACUACCCUAGCUGUGUUGGCUUUCUAACCCGCACCACUUAUCGUGGUGGGAGACAGUGUCAGGCGGGCAGUUUGACUGGGGCGGUCGCCUCCUAAAAGGUAACGGAGGCGCUCAAAGGUUCCCUCAGAAUGGUUGGAAAUCAUUCAUAGAGUGUAAAGGCAUAAGGGAGCUUGACUGCGAGACCUACAAGUCGAGCAGGGUCGAAAGACGGACUUAGUGAUCCGGUGGUUCCGCAUGGAAGGGCCAUCGCUCAACGGAUAAAAGCUACCCCGGGGAUAACAGGCUUAUCUCCCCCAAGAGUUCACAUCGACGGGGAGGUUUGGCACCUCGAUGUCGGCUCAUCGCAUCCUGGGGCUGUAGUCGGUCCCAAGGGUUGGGCUGUUCGCCCAUUAAAGCGGUACGCGAGCUGGGUUCAGAACGUCGUGAGACAGUUCGGUCCCUAUCCGUCGUGGGCGUAGGAAAUUUGAGAGGAGCUGUCCUUAGUACGAGAGGACCGGGAUGGACAUACCUCUGGUGUACCAGUUGUCGUGCCAACGGCAUAGCUGGGUAGCUAUGUGUGGACGGGAUAAGUGCUGAAAGCAUCUAAGCAUGAAGCCCCCCUCAAGAUGAGAUUUCCCAACUUCGGUUAUAAGAUCCCUCAAAGAUGAUGAGGUUAAUAGGUUCGAGGUGGAAGCAUGGUGACAUGUGGAGCUGACGAAUACUAAUCGAUCGAAGACUUAAUCAA
rnacentral:rRNA from 1 species